UGCCAUUAUUCUACUGUAGUU
rnacentral:piRNA from 1 species